CUCAUGGUUCCACAGGCCGUACAUGAAGCAUAGCUGAGGAGGCCUCAGGAAACUUUCAAUCAUGGUAGAAAGGAAGCAGGCACAUUUUGCCCAGCCAGAGCAGGAGGAAGGGAGCACAGAGGGAGGUGCUACACACUUAAAUAAUCAAAUCUCAUGAGAACUCACUAUCACAGGAACAGCAGGAGGGAAAUGCAUCUCAUGAUCCAAUCACCUCCUACCAGGCUCCUCCUCCCACACUGAGGAUUACAAUUUGACAUGAGAUUUGGGUGGGAACACAAAUCUAAACCAUAUCAUUCCACCUCUGGCACCUCCCAAAUCUCAUGUCCUUCUCACAUUGCAAAAUACAAUCAUCCCUCCUUAACAGUCGCCCAAGUCUUGACACAUUUCAGCAUUAACUCUGAAGUCCACUUUCCAAAGUCUCAUCUAAGACAAGGCAAGUCCGUUCUCCCUUCUGCUCUCAUACUGCUAAAAAGAAAUACCUGAAGCUGGGUAAUUUAUAAAGAAAAGACGUUUAAUUGGCUCAUGAUUCCAUAGGCUGAUCAGGAAGCAUGGCUGAGGAGGCCUCAGGGAACUUUCAAUCAUAGUGGAAGGGAAGCAGGCACAUCUUACAUGGCUAGAAUAGGAGGAAGAGAGUGAAGGGGGAGGUGUUACACACUUUUAAACAACCAGAUCUCAUGAGAACUCACUAUUGUGAGAAGAGCAAGAGGGAAAUCUGUCCUCAUGAUCCAGUUACCUCCCACCACACCCCUCCUCCAACACUGGUGAUUGCAAUUUGACAUGAGAUUUGAGUGGGGACACAAAUCCAAACCAUAUCAAUAAUAUAUAUACAGAGAUAAACAUAUUUUAAGUAUUACAGGAAUUAUUUAUGCAGUUUUGAAUCACAAAUAUGAUUAAACUUUCUUUAAAAAUAUUAUUUUUAAUGGCUGCAUAAUAUUCCCUAGUAUCUUUUAUAAUGUAUCUACUUUCCUGAUGUUGAGUAUUUAGUAUAUUUCAGACUUUUGUUAUUUCAAACUCAUGUUGAUUUGAAC
rnacentral:lncRNA from 1 species